rnacentral:misc_RNA from 1 species
CCAUUUAGAGGAAGUAAAAGUCGUAACAAGGUUUCCGUAGGUGAACCUGCGGAAGGAUCAUUAAUGAAUUGUUAGGACGCUCUUUUUAGAGGUCCGACCCCUUCAUUUCCUUACACUGUGCACACACUUCUUUUUCACACAUUUUAACACAUCAGUUUAAAGAAUGUAAAUAGUCUCUUAAUUGAGCAUAAAAUAAAUAAAACUUUCAGCAACGGAUCUCUUGGCUCUC